rnacentral:rRNA from 1 species
GAUGAACGCUGGCGGCGUGCCUAAUACAUGCAAGUCGAGCGAACGGACGAGAAGCUUGCUUCUCUGAUGUUAGCGGCGGACGGGUGAGUAACACGUGGAUAACCUACCUAUAAGACUGGGAUAACUUCGGGAAACCGGAGCUAAUACCGGAUAAUAUUUUGAACCGCAUGGUUCAAAAGUGAAAGACGGUCUUGCUGUCACUUAUAGAUGGAUCCGCGCUGCAUUAGCUAGUUGGUAAGGUAACGGCUUACCAAGGCUACGAUGCAUAGCCGACCUGAGAGGGUGAUCGGCCACACUGGAACUGAGACACGGUCCAGACUCCUACGGGAGGCAGCAGUAGGGAAUCUUCCGCAAUGGGCGAAAGCCUGGCGGAGCAACGCCGCGUGAGUGAUGAAGGUCUUCGGAUCGUAAAGCUCUGUUAUUAGGGAAGAACAGAUGUGUAAGUAGCUGUGGACAGCUUGACGGUACCUAAUCAAAAAGCAACGGCUAACUACGUG